UGGAAGAUUUCAUGUUCUCAAGCUCACUGAGUCAUCAGUGAAUUUAUGAGCCAGGUGAGGAAUUUCCAGAGACCAGAUGUCAUGUAAUAUUUCCCCAAAACAUGACUUUGGAAGAAAGGGAGAAGAAAAGGGGUUGAAUACCACCAGUCUUCAGAUCUGGGAACAUUCUCUCAAACUCCCACCAUGCCUAAGAUCUGUUGGCUAGAAAGUUCGGGACUGAAGUCCAGGCCCCAGUGUACUUCAUGGUGCUGUUUUACAGAUCAGCGCUUUCCAAAAGAACUCUGCACAGUGAUGAAAAUGUUCUAUAUUUGCACUAUCCAGUGUGUCAACUACCAGUCACAUGUGCAGAUGGAACACUUGAAUUGUGGCCUCUGUGACUCUGGAACUGAAUGUCUAGUUGUAAAAUAAACUUGUAGCUGGUGACUCCCAUACUGGACAGAGUGCGUCAAACAUAUGUCCAGGAUUAUGUGUGUGAUCCAGAUCCACAACAAACAAAUCUCUAUCCAAAGCAACUGCAUUUGGCACCACUUGUUUUCAACAAGUAGAACCUGGAUGGAGGAUAUACAGCUAAUCCUCAGAGUCAGCGGGGGGUGCUGACUUGCAUCCCUGGGAAGGGAAGGGGACACCGAGACAACACCGAUACUGAAAAGAAGAAAACUAGAAAUAAGACUUAAAAUCUGAACUCAAUCAGAUCCACGCAGGUGGAGAGGUAUGAAAUGCCUCUCUUUCUUCUCAAGAGGCGUGUGAUGGAAGAAAUUUGUCAUCAGACUGGAGCUCUCCAGAGCCCUUCGUGUGAAGACAUGGUCCCAAAAACUGACUUGAGGUUUAACUGAAUCUAGAAACUGUUCAAGCACCACGGCAUGGGACAUUCAUCAGGGGUGCGUAAAUGGGCUUUAAUUGAUCAUAAGACAGAACAUUGGAUUUGUUCUCUGGAAGAUGUACUCUUAACAGAUGAGGAUACAGUGUGUGUAUGUGUGUGCGUGUGGGUGUUUCUUUUCUUUCCUCCUUCAUGUUCCUACCAGUCAAACUUUGUCAGCAAGAACUCUCCCAGUCAAGAGAUACAGCCCAGCCUCACACUACCUAUAGAGGGGUGCAUGGUGUCUCCUCUUUCUGGGAUUGGUUUAAAUGAACUGCUAUGUUCCAGGGAUAGCUGUUUGAAAAAAAAAAAAAAACCUGACAGUUAAGGUUAGCUCCCAACAGCUAUCUUUGCUGAGUGAGAUAACAUCAGAACGUGGUAGAGGUGCUGAGAGAAAGUAUGAGAAUCAGCUUACAACAGAGGCCAAAAGUGAAACCUCCCUUCAGAAGCAGGGAUAUCUGGUUGAGUACCUACUAUGUUCAGACACCAUAAACUGAUUGAAUCCUGUUAGCAAUCCUACUGUGAUUUUUUUUUUAAGAUUUUAUUUAUUUAUUUGACAGAGGGAGAUCACAAGUAGGCAGAGAGGCAGGCAGAGAGUGAGAAGGUGAAGCAGGCGCCCCGCUGAACAGAGAGCCCGAUGCUGGGCUCCAUCCCAGGACCCUGGGAUCAUGACUGGAGCAGAAGGCAGAGACUAACCCACUGAGCCCCCCAGGCGCCCCCCUGCUGUGAUUUUUUUACAGACUGAUGAUUGGAGGAUCAGAGAAAGCAAGUGACUGGCCUCAGGUCAAACAUGCAGUACUCAUGUUGGGGCCAGAUUCGUCUAUCUCGGAACCUCUCUGUUUCACUUCACCAACAUACUAGGUGCUCACUGACCCUGGCUGACCUCACUCUUCUAUGACACGCUGACUUCAAGGAAAUUGCUGAGAAGUCUCUGAUGAGCUGAGACCCCGUGCAUGAUAGGGCACCUGGGCCAAGCUUAACCCCCUGCUGGGAGGAAACUUUCCUUCCCAAGAAAUAACUGUAAGUGAGCGUGACCGACUUGCAACAGAACUAUAAACAAAGGCUCAAACAUACGCAUUAAAUCACUUGCCUGGAGUCGUACAAUCAGGAUUGAACUCAAAUGUAGCUGAGAAAAAAAAUGCAUGCUCUUUCCACCACUCUUCAUUGCUUUACUUUAAGAGACAUAGAAAAAUGUUCUGCUGAGCUUAUAUAUUUUAUAUCCAUAGGCCUGUGUGUGUGCGUGUGCGUGUGCAUGUGUGUCUAUGAAUGUGUGUCCAUGUGUCUGCGUAACUGUGCAUAUGACUGUGUGUGUGUUUUCCAUCCUACUAUUUUUCUCUCUCAAGCUAAGGAUUCAUAACUCAGGUGGUUUGGGAUCUAAUACUGUGAAGAUAUUGUGGACACUAUAUAUUCAGUUUCUUCUCUCCAUUGAUGGCCGCCACAGCCAAGGGAGCCCUUAAUGAGGCCCUCCACAAACCCUUGGAGUUCCCUGAUCUCACCCGCCAUUCAUCGCUGUGGUUUGAGACCACAGUAUGAGGAGAGAAAUUAGUUCAUAUCUCAAAGACGGUAACUCUUUUGAAUAAAGAAUGCAAAUUGUAACAGUGAGUAUGGCCUUACUGUGAUGACAUUUCCUUCCAUCGUGUAGGUUUUGAUGACACCGCCGACAGGUGCCUGCAGGUACUGUCAGGGACGACCUGCAAACCAUUUCAAGACCAAGAUCUCUCAGGGAAAGUUUCAACUUGACUUUCUCUCCCAUCUCCUCUAUUCUUCCAUCGUGCUCCUUACGCCCUCCUUCCCUGCCCCAAUCCUAGCAAAAAUCUUCCCUGCCAGUGAUACCAGAAUCCUCUUCUUUAAGGAUUUGUGAUCAGACAUGCUCACUAUGUAAAUAUGUUCAGUGGUUUCUAAGGGAUCCUACAUGAAUUUCAUGUGCCAUGGACUUGAGACUAUUAAUGAACUGGUUGGUGCCUUGCUCUGUUCUAACCUCCUCACUGCCCUGUCCUUGCUCUGCAGACUGGUAAGGUGUAACCUCAACUCUUUGUCAUUUACUGAGGACAUUUCUCAAGGUGAUCACCUUUCCCCUGUGAUACGUCUUGAAUCAUGAAGGCUUAUCUUCAGUGUAGGCUGGACAUCACCUUCUUAUCUUUGAACUCUUCACAGUACAUAGUUAGAUGACCAUUUGCAAGGCACUUAUCAUUUUCAUGCUAUUAAAAGUAUUUAUUUACAGUCUUGCUUCUUUGUAAAUUGCUUUUUAUUUGGUUUAUAUAAACUGUCUGUACUUUCA